GAAAGAAAAGUGUAUACAUGUAUUGAUGACAUCGCGACACUCUCCGAUGAUGCCCUACAAAAGCGUCGCAAGCGGGGCAAAGAGCCGCUGAAAAGAAAAAUGGCCACGACCGGGGUCUCCAAAGCGGUAUCAAAGAAAUCUAACACAACGGUUUUUCAGCUGCCUGGUAGUAGCGCAAGUGUCAACAGAACAGUUUCAUUCCCCGAACCACCAGAGUCGGUCACCAACGCCCGCGACAGUUGGCUGUCUGAGAAUCCCGCAAUGCCGAUUA